GCAACAAGUUUUUUGCAUGAGCAGUGUAUUGAACGCCACCUGGUUUCCCCACGGACGCGUAGCCCAUGUCUGAUCACUCUGUGACACUUCUGUCCUUGAUGAGUCCUCCAUCACGCUGGGGCUGAGCAAAGCAUCAGACCAUGGCUGGGGAGGGAUCUGCAGCUCUGGCAGGUGACACGGGAGAAAUAGGAAAACAGGAGGGCUGAACACUGCUGUUUCCCUGCAUCUCCAGCCAGCAGCGGCUGUGGGCUUCUUCUGAGCUCGUGGACUUCCUCCUCCAAGGCACUUCCAGCAGCAGUUACCUAGAGGAAAGCACAAGGGCAGACUGAGCGUGUUUCUUCGGAUAGUUUUACAGCAUGCUGGUGGCCAGCAGGAUUGUUUGAAGGAGGAGAAACCUGCUUCAUGCAUCCCAUGUCCCUGCAUCUUCUGGAAGCUGGACAGGUUCCGCAGCUCUCGAUGCCCUCUCCAAGCAGGAGUCCUGGGCUGAUGGAAGUGGGCAGUGUCUUCUCCAGAAGCACCCAGCCAGCCCUGCGGAAGGUGUGUGUCUGUGAUCACGUGAGGGCUGCAGUGAUGCUCUCGUGUUUCAGAAGCUGAGCUACGUUUCAGAAAGGAGGGGAGCCAGCUAACAAAAGAAAUCCAGAGAAGAGCAAAAAGCGUUGUGUUUAUGAAGAACAAUUGAACAGGCCAGACAUCUCCAGCCUGUGAGGGAUACAGCAGAGGUCUAUAAAAUCAUGAGUGGCCUGGAAAAAAAUGAAUUGAUUGCUGCUCUUACCUGUUUCCAGAAAAAGCACUUUCAGAAGAAACCAAAGGUGAAAAUGUCUUGUCACCUGGGCAAAGGAACUAACGUGAAAGAGCAAUCUCAGCUCCAGGAGCUCGUGUUCAAGAAGUGAAACGGAGCCAACAUCUGAUUAAGGCAGAUUCGGUCAGGUCAGGGAAAUGAGCUUCCCCAGGGACUUUCUACUGCUGCUGAAAGAGCUCAAGGUUUAAGACUCCUAUCUGCCCCACAGAAACAGAAAUGAUGGGAAUGUGGUUGCCACAGAUGAGGCUAAACUUCACCACUUACAGGAUGACUGGCUUUCUCAGGACACUGGGUGAAGAUCAGCUUGAGAAGAGGCAGCAGAUACAGAAGAUGAUGACCCAGCUACCUGGAAGAGAAACAACAGAGUCUCAGGAGAAUGUGGGCAGCAAGGGGUUUUCUUGAAGAUGCUCACAGCAGAGAACCCUCCAAGUAUGGAGUAAAAAGCCAGUUCUGUACUGUAAAGCAAUAGAUUCCAGCAGCCAAAGAGGGAAAAGAAAUGAUUGCCAACGUGCUUUCCCUCCAGCAAGCUGGAAAGUAAAUUUGAAACUGAGUGUGAACAGUAAGCAGCUCGUGUGGUGAGUCAGAGUGAGGUCUUGCAUUAGAAUUGAAAAGUCAUAGUGUACAUUUCUGCUCAUGAGUGAAACCUGGACUUCCUUUUCAGUGCCUUCUUAGGACAUGCCAGCCCUGUCAGCAGUCAUGGCCUGGUCUUAGAAAUGAAACUUAUUUUGUUAGGCCCUGCCUUGGGUCACUGCCCAUGGCGGCCUGUCUCUUUUGCAUCGUGCCAUCUUCACUUGUGGGAGCAAUGGGCUUGGUUUUGGAUCUCGUUCUAACCACUGUUUAUGCAGCCACCUCCUUGUGCCAAACCAAGCUGGACUCCAAGGCCACGUCUGUGCUCUCUGGAACAGCACUGGUGCAAUCUUGGUGAGUAACACUGCUUCCCAAGCCAGCUUGGCUGGAAAGCAGCUUCCCAGGCUUUUUUGUGCAGGCAGCCAGUUAAGAUGUUACCCAGAGCCUGCUGGACUAUUCCAGCUACCAGAUCUUACUGUAGACAGUCUACAGGAAGGUGAUUUCUAUGCUUUCUCUGUUCGUAGUUAUCCUAUAAAUACAUUGGUCUGGAUUAUCUAUGUUUUUUCAAGUCCUCUCAAGGCAUUACUGUACAAGUAGUAAAAGUUAUCAAAACUAACUAAAAAGCUUAACUUUGUUGACCUCUCCCACCCUUUGUGCUCCAACAGGGCACUUUUCCCCCUGUGUCCCC
ensembl:lncRNA